CAGGAUCAGGAAAUCGAACGAUGGCGAAAGACCCGUUGGUUUCCCUGACGACCCUACAAGGAAAUUACUUGUUUCAAUAGUUAAUUGUAGGAGCUUGCUGUUGCUUGGUGAGUGUGAAAAGUACGUCAGCCCAGAUUCAACACGCGUUUGAGGACAACCAUUCAAUUACGGGCAUCUUGACGUCCAAAGCGCUGAAGGAAAGAGACCUCGCCAAAAUGCUGAGACUAAGGAUGAGAACGAACGUCUUAAUAUGAACUGAUGACCUAAAACUUCGUAAUCCUUAGGCUGAAGUCCAGGAAAUCUUGUUACCUUUCUUCGAGAGAAAGGCGUUUCUUAUAUAAGCAACCUACACUCAAUUUUACGCAAGCUUAAAACAAUGAUAGAGCGAGACUGAUGUAAUGUUCCUUGUUAUGUAAUGUAACGGCAACACAUAAAUCUUUAGCCAUUGAGGAGAUUUCAGUGAGCCGCUAUGUAAAUGAAGUGCUACUACCCCAACAUAUACAUGAGAUUGACUACGUGGCUUUAUUUAAUCAUAAUUGUCGCGUAACAUAUUAUUGACGAGGCUUGGAUCAGUCACCCAUUAGAACGAACAAUCUAAACUAUAAUAAUAUAACGUAAAUAGCAUUAAUGCAAAGUACAGAUCAUUGUGGACCUUUGACGCACUACAUUGUCGUCGACUAGCUGGCUAUUGGGAAGAAAACAAUCAGAGUGCUUUGAGCCCACACAUUGGACCUUAUUCAUCAUCAAUGUAGGCUGCGUGCCCCAUUGAUUAGGAACUGGAUCGGACCAUUGCAAGAAAAAUAACGCUUCGUAGAUGGGGGCGCGAAUAAGCACAAGUUCAGCCAGGGCAGCUAGAUUAAGUUACUAAUUUGGUGCGACGGGCAAGAGAAGGAGGGGCUGCUGGGCUCAAACAAGAAAAGAUGGAACAUGUCCACCGAGCUUUUGAGAUAUAGUCUAGAUAUAGUCUCAACUAUCCAAGCUCGAUAAAGAAGCAAUGGUUAAAUUAAAAAGUGUACUAUCAUAGGUCAACUUUAUGCAAGGAUUAUAGGACGUCCUGAGCAUUGCACACCGAAAGAAUUCUGGGAUCUUUGCUCUUUGUCUGCUGGUGUGUAUAGACUGUCCAAUUUUUCUAGACUAGUCGGAAAUCGAUUGAAAUGUAGUAAACUCUAAUCAUUGAUAAAUGUUAGCGGUUAGCUGGAAAGAUGUUAGACAUGAUGAAAUCUAGGGUGUAUACUAAAGUUCAAUACAAUUUUCAUGUAUCCAAGGUACGGUCUAUCACGAACGUUAAACUAUGGUAGAUCCUGUAUGUCGAUGGUUCAUUGAACAGCUGGCGUUUCUAGGCGGCUGGUGGCAAUUUUCUGCUUACGUUGUCGUCCUUACCAACAUUUGCUGUUCGUGACGCAAUGCUAUCAGUUUUAAAAAAAAGUUAGCUUAUUUCAAUUUUGUCAUGACUGAGAAUUUUACUAUCAAAUUGCGCACUGGAUAGCGGGCAGCCAUAUAGUACAACACGAUCAAUCAACUUUUAUCAAUAACUUAAGGCUGUCCAUCGCAAGAUUAAGUAUACUAAUUUCAGAUUUGCUCAGUUUGUCGAGACUUAUUCGGCAGACUAAAGAAGACGCCUCACAAUAAAUUAGCAAGCAAAUAUCUAUGUCUUUUAAUACACACCGAUAUACCUAUAUAUUGUUUAAAGUACUUCAACUUGUAUGCAUACCUACCUAUCUUACUGUCUAUUCUAGAUUGAAGGCCUGUCGCAGUUAACACUUUGUUCUGAUCCACCAGAGGCUCUAGAACAUUUACAUAUUAUUCAAAUAGAAUGAGUUGUUUUUGGUUGUAACUUGAAGUGAUAUGUUUCCAUAUUUUGCGGCACUGAUUUCGAUCGCGUAUCCGUUGAUUUUCUAGUAUCAUUUUACGACGACGGACUCCAUGAUCGUUAGAUAUUUCGGACACGUCCUAAUAUACAGGAUUUUUGGCGAAAAUUAUCGUUUUUUGAAAACGAAUUAUGAAAAUCGAAAAUAAAAUAAUCUAAUUGUUGAAAUGCAAUAUGAGCUUAAGAUGCAUUUAGCUGUAUCGUCAUUCUAGAACUCGUGUAAAAGGAUGUAUUACGUAUAUAUUUAUAUAUUAUAAUCGAACUUGGUAUAAUAACAGCAUACUUUCUAUACACACGCAGUAAGAUACGUUUCACUAAUUCAAUAAAAAAUACUGUGUUUGCUUACGAUCGACAGGCAAAUCAUAGAAACAAGAAGCAGAGCGCUUUUCCAGUGUUUCUAGUUUAUACAUGUUCAUGAUUGAUAACUUAAAAUUUAUAGGUAUGUGAAGUAACUUCGAAACGAAGUAGAAAAAUACACUACCGUAUCAACAAAGUAUUAUCCUCUUAGAUUUAUUACGUAAAUCGCAGGCAGAGUCGAUGAGUUACACUGACAUGCUAGGAGUCUGCUUGCCGUUUGGUUUUAUUUUUCAUUGAAUGACUACAUACAUGUCUUUCCACCUAACCUUCUCUCCUCUUCCCCCCUCUCUCUCUCUCUCUCUCUUUCUCUCUUGUCUGAGCUGGGACGACCUCUCAAUGAUUAAUCAAUAAUAACUGACAUUGAUUAAGUAUUUGAUGAAACAUUCAAAACGAGUACACCCUUUCGAUCGUGAUAAUUAUUAAAGUCUCUUUAAUUUAGCUUAAUCGAUCUUUAAUUAGAACCAAUCUCAAACUAGUAAAAUCAAUCAUUAGACAUAUUGGCAUAUUGUCUAGAUAAUUAGUUAUCUCCUAGUAUCUCCGAGUAUUUGUCCUUUUAAGCGUACAAGCUAUAACAUCUGUGUAACAUGCUACUUGAUAUAACCCAGACACAAUGAACACAUUUUAGCGUUUACGAAGCUGUUAUUUUACCUAAUAAGCUGUUUUUAAACCUAAUUUAUGAUAGACCCAGUUCAUGUUCAGUAACAACGGAGCAAUCGACACCAGUGAAUUUAUUUCUUAUUAUCAAAUAUAUCUCGAAGGAUUCGUACAUUAAAAUCGUCCAUAUUUUUGAUCGUUAUUGUGGGCCAAAGAACAGCUAAUAUUUCCUGUAUCAGAUAGCGUAAAUAUAAAUAUUUGAAAUAAUUCGAUACUAUCUAAACCGAACUGCUUACCAGGUUUUACCGGCCGCCUAUAAUAUUGAGCAGGCUUCUCCGUCCGUCUCAAUAGCGACAUCAUGAACAUUUAUAGGUUUACGUUAAUGAAGUGUUAUUUUACGACGGAGAACAGUAACUGCAUGUCUCUGAUAGAGCAAACCCAUUCACACUCCACUACUAAUAGGCCAUAUCCGACGAAAGCACUUCAUCCCAUCUUGGAAGCGGAACAUUGAUUCUGUCAUGUUUAAUAUCGUUCGCUGAAAAAAUAUCCACUACACAAGCCAGCCUUUGACGCGUUUGGUGUUCAUAAGUCGGUCCAUAUAAUAAGCGAAUGAAUUAGACUAUGAGACAUAAUUAUAGCGAGGAACUCGACAUUAGCGGUCCCAUUUGACGACCAACCCCCGUUUAUUAGCUAACUGAAUGCCAAUUUAGAAAAAUAGGUAGAACAUGUGCUGAUAGUUGCGUCGGGUUAUGUCGCCGAAACGGGCAGGCGGUACGUCUCCGGCUUCGUAAACACUAAAGCCUCUGGUAAUUUCCUUGCUCUUUUGUGAUUUUUGCGGGACUAGCUGUACAUCAUCCUAUGAAAAGACUAGAAUUCAGGUUUGAGUUAACUAUAGAAGACGCAUAAGUGGUUAAAUGCUCUUUUUCUACGAGAUCGCAUAGAACGAUUUCUUGAAUAUGUUUGGUUUAGAGAAACAACAGUGUCACUUUGGCGCGAACGCCAGACACCUAACGGCUUUUUGUCUAUUGCCGCCCUAUUUGAUUUUUCCUACAGAUCCUUUCACAAAUUAUGAGAAUUAUUUAAUCUUCGUUAGGGCAGUGGUGCUUAUCCUCCAUAUCCCAAGCGAUAGCCCUUUUAUCAUUUCUCCUUCCAGAAAUUAUCUAUUUCUUCGGUAUAAUUUAUUAUGACCUCAAUGUAACACAAACCGUUUUACAUUAUUUUAAUGACCAGCUCCGCUGCAGCAUGCUUUCCCUAUGUUUCCACAUUGGUGGUCUCAUUGUAUUCACAGCGUAUAUACAAAAAAUCAUCUCAACCGAGGUAAACACGAAUUACAUUAAGGUUACAUUACGGAUUCGUUGGAUUCAUAAGCCUGAAGACUGCCAUAAGUACUGUAUAUCUGGGAUACGUAAUCAUAUGUAUGAGUGAUUUAUCAAUUAACCUUCUUUUCCUCUACCUCGUUUUCACCUACCGUAUUUUCUCCUGCGCAAAGUUUUGUUUCUUCAUAAACAUUUACACUGCUUCUAGCGCGCAACUAUUUAUAAGCUCUUUUCAUCUAGACUAUAGAGCUUUCGUACAAUACAUGCUAUAUAUAUGUGUGUAACUAUAUAAGUCAUUGCACAGACUCAACAAGCGAUAAAGGAAGCGCUAUAGAACACAACUUUUGGACCAACUCAACGGCAAUACUAUUAAUGAAACAUAUUCAGAAAGCAGCUAAAAACAAUAGAAAAAUUACAGAAAAAAAAAAACACUCUGCUUAGAUUUAAAUUGUUUAGGAUGUCCCUAUGCAGUUAAAACGUAAUCGUGUAUUGUCUACGGAACGAAUAGGAUAUGUUUCAAAAGGAGUCAAGUCGGGUCUGAAAUCAACCAAACCCUAUAGGAGUGCAAGAGCUGAAUAAUAUGAAACUACCGACUUUAAGACUAGCAAAACUCAUCAGCCAACAAUAAUAUCG
rnacentral:lncRNA from 1 species